UGGGGAAUCUUGCGCAAUGGGCGAAAGCCUGACGCAGCCAUGCCGCGUGAAUGAUGAAGGUCUUAGGAUUGUAAAAUUCUUUUAGCAGGGACGAUAAUGACGGUACCUGCAGAAAAAGCCCCGGCUAACUUCGUGCCAGCAGCCGCGGUAAUACGAAGGGGGCUAGCGUUGCUCGGAAUUACUGGGCGUAAAGGGAGCGUAGGCGGGUUAUCAAGUUGGGGGUGAAAGCCCGGGGCUCAACCUCGGAAUUGCCUUCAAAACUGAUAACCUGGAGUAUGGAAGAGGUAAGUGGAACUCCGAGUGUAGAGGUGAAAUUCGUAGAUAUUCGGAAGAACACCAGUGGCGAAGGCGACUUACUGGUCCAUUACUGACGCUGAGGCUCGAAAGCGUGGGGAGCAAACAG
rnacentral:rRNA from 1 species